rnacentral:rRNA from 2 species
GAGUGCGGGUGCUAUACAUGCAGUCGAGCGGACAGAUGGGAGCUUGCUCCCUGAUGUUAGCGGCGGACGGGUGAGUAACACGUGGGUAACCUGCCUGUAAGACUGGGAUAACUCCGGGAAACCGGGGCUAAUACCGGAUGGUUGUUUGAACCGCAUGGUUCAAACAUAAAAGGUGGCUUCGGCUACCACUUACAGAUGGACCCGCGGCGCAUUAGCUAGUUGGUGAGGUAAUGGCUCACCAAGGCGACGAUGCGUAGCCGACCUGAGAGGGUGAUCGGCCACACUGGGACUGAGACACGGCCCAGACUCCUACGGGAGGCAGCAGUAGGGAAUCUUCCGCAAUGGACGAAAGUCUGACGGAGCAACGCCGCGUGAGUGAUGAAGGUUUUCGGAUCGUAAAGCUCUGUUGUUAGGGAAGAACAAGUACCGUUCGAAUAGGGCGGUACCUUGACGGUACCUAACCAGAAAGCCACGGCUAACUACGUGCCAGCAGCCGCGGUAAUACGUAGGUGGCAAGCGUUGUCCGGAAUUAUUGGGCGUAAAGGGCUCGCAGGCGGUUUCUUAAGUCUGAUGUGAAAGCCCCCGGCUCAACCGGGGAGGGUCAUUGGAAACUGGGGAACUUGAGUGCAGAAGAGGAGAGUGGAAUUCCACGUGUAGCGGUGAAUGCGUAGAGAUGUGGAGGACACCAGUGGCGAAGCGACUCUCUGGUCUGUACUGACGCUGAGAGCGAGCCGUGGGAGCGACAGGAUAGAUACCUGUAGUCACGGCGUAACGAUGAUGCUAGUGUAGGGAUUCGCCUAGUGCUGAGUACAUAGACUCGCUGGAUUCGUCGCAGACUGAACUCGAGGAAUGUGC